UGGCGGUCGUCAAGUGCGGUGGUGGUGGUGAUGGUGGUGGUGGUUGUGGAGGCUGCUGCCGGCUCCAGCGUGGCCUGAGGCAGUGGGAUCGUCCAGGGAACGAGGCUGCGGCCAGGGAAGGCCCCUGCUGUGGUUGACAGACAGACGGCAGGAGCUCCCAGAGCCGUCGCGAGUGGGCACGCAGUGGAGUACAUCCCUCGUACCUGGCACCGGUAGGAGGCGCGGGACUUGGCCCCAGAGACGCCCCAGCCAUCCGAGGACUCUGAGUACCCUACCCAUAGAGGGUGGGUGAUUCCCACCACGUCCAACCACACUGGAAACGGCUCUAAGCUCCGAAACAAAAAACUCUGGUCCAGCCAACCUCCGGGAAAGUACGAAGCAAGACACUCUUCCUUUCCCUCCACACCGCUAGGGACCCUUCGCCAAAGCCUGAUUCUUCUCACGCCCUAAGGCUCCCCACGCACUUCCCAUCCUCCACAGUAGGUUCUGCUGCUGUCGGCUUGGUCCUCCAGGAAUAUCGAGAGGCCAGAACCAUCCAUCUUCUUGGACAGAAAACCGCAGAGCAAGCUACAUCUGUCGGACUCUGUAUUCCCUUCUUUCCCCUUCGGAAAUCCUUGAUUAGGAUGAAGACAGGAAGCAGCUCCUAGCUGAAAGUGCAUUGGAGCCUUUAGGUCACUGUCAGCUUAAUUCACAGCUGCAGUCUUGCCAGAAUGGUCUUUUCGGCCAGUGUUAGGGCUGUACACACAUGAACGAGCACACACACACACACACACACACACACACACACACACAAACACGGGGCUGGGGGGGGAGAACAUACAGCCAGAAACAGACACUGGAGCAUUGCUGUCAAACCAAGGCUUAGAAUAUGAGCACGGCCUAGACUGUUUUCUGGUGAAGGAAGAGCCUAUCUGUGCCUAGACCUGUACCUGUGCACCCAAAUUGUGCCAACAGGAAAUCACAACAGUACAGGAAAGAAGCCCAAACCUGUUGCUAUUCACAUGUACCCCCACCGCACCCCACCUCCACACUUUUGCUUGCAACCCAAGCACUUCAGAUCACUGCCUCGGUUCUGAGAGACCCUACAGGGUUUAUGCUGUCUUUCAGUACAGGUGACUAUUCAUGUGUGAGAGCGCUGCAGGUGUCAUUUCAAUGGCCACCUGGCUUCCACCAGUUCCUGCAUUAUAGCUCAUGUCUCUUGACAGGACUCUGAUGAAGUCAGCGGGUAGGAGGAAGGUAAAGUGGCAAGGAGUGAAAAGGCACCUGUAGCAGGCAAGGCUGCGACUCUUCGGUAUCCUAGACAAUGUCCUCCUGGCUAUUCUUGGGAACCCGGUCAUUUUGGUGUGUUCCUGAUUUCACAUCCUGCUGUUCCCUGCACCUCUGUUGGACUUUUUAAUCCUUGCCAACCUUGUGGAGGCUGCCUGCACCAUGGCAGAUGUGCAUACCUGUCACAGGACAGUUUGUGCAGUUGGUUCUCUCUCUCCAUCACGUGGACUCCAAGGAUCAAACUCUGUCACCAGGCUUGGAGGC